rnacentral:lncRNA from 1 species
CUUUUAGUAAGGAUAUUACUAGUUUAAGAAAUAUAGAAGAAGGGAAUAAUAUAUUAUUUCACCUCUUAAGCACCUGGUUACUCAUCCUUUGUCAAGCUUUUAACUGAUGUCAUCAAUUGGUCGUAUGAUGUUGAUGCCUCCAUUUUCUUGUCAAUUGGAGGGAUGAAACUUUCUAUUGCACUUCAUUCCUGUCUCCUUUCUAACUAAUCUGAGGAAGAUAUGGGCCAUAUGACUGAAUUAUGUUGUCCUCAUCAGUAGUGGAUAUGAUUAGUCAAAUAAUUGAUGAUGCCACGCUUCACAGAAUCAAAGUUUAGUUUAUGAGUUAUUUCAUUCUCUUUUCUUGUGCUUUCAGAUGUUCAUCAUGUUUAUUUGAAUCCAAUAAUGAUCUUUGGUUAAUCUUAAUAUUUUUCAUGUCUAGUCAGGCAUUGGAUUUGGAAUAUUGUUGUUUCCCUCACUUGCAUGACAUACAGCUUGUUUCCUUGUUUGUCUUUUUAGCUUGUUUACUGCUGUUAUUUCUUUAAAGCUCCACUUACCUGUGGCCUUCAUACAGGAAGUUCCUUUUUGCCUCAAUCUUUUCUUUAUCUUAUUCAUAC